rnacentral:tRNA from 1 species
UCCCCGAUGGCUCAAUGGGUAGAGCGAGCGGCUGUUAACCGCUAGGUCGUAGGUUCGAGUCCUACUCGGGGAG